GUCCCAGACUCCUACGGGAGGCAGCAGUGGGGAAUAUUGGACAAUGGGGGGAACCCUGAUCCAGCGACGCCGCGUGAGUGAAGAAGUAUUUCGGUAUGUAAAGCUCUAUCAGCAGGGAAGAAAGAAAUGACGGUACCUGACUAAGAAGCCCCGGCUAACUACGUGCCAGCAGCCGCGGUAAUACGUAGGGGGCAAGCGUUAUCCGGAUUUACUGGGUGUAAAGGGAGCGUAGACGGCGAUGCAAGUCUGAAGUGAAAGGCGGGGGCCCAACCCCCGGACUGCUCUGGAAACUGUGCAGCUAGAGUGCAGGAGAGGCAGGCGGAAUUCCUAGUGUAGCGGUGAAAUGCGUAGAUAUUAGGAGGACCACCGGUGGCGAAGGCGGCCUGCUGGACUGUAACUGACGUUGAGGCUCGAAAGCGUGGGGAGCAAACAGGAUUAGAUACCCCGGUAC
rnacentral:rRNA from 1 species